rnacentral:rRNA from 1 species
AGAGUUUGAUCAUGGCUCAGGAUGAACGCUAGCGGCAGGCCUAAUACAUGCAAGACGAACGGUAAGUUGAGUAGCAAUACUUAGCCAAGAGUGUCGUACGGGUGCGUAACACGUAUGCAACCUACCCUAUACAGGAGGAUAGCCUAGGGAAACCUGGAUUAACCCUUCAUAGUAUUAUUGGAUGGCAUCAUUUGAUAAUUAAAACUGAGGUGGUAUAGGAUGGGCAUGCGUCUGAUUAGUUAGUUGGCGGGGUAAUGGCCCACCAAGACGAUGAUCAGUAGGGGGUUCUGAGAGGAAGAUCCCCCCACACUGGCACUGAGAUACGGGCCAGACUCCUACGGGAGGCAGCAGUAGGGAAUAUUGGUCAAUGGAUGCAAGUCUGAACCAGCCAUGCCGCGUGCAGGAAGAAGGCCUUCUGGGUUGUAAACUGCUUUUGCCAGGGGAUAAAAUUUCCAUGCGUGGAAAACUGAAGGUACCUGGUGAAUAAGCCACGGCUAACUACGUG